AUCAUUACUCUGUUAAUCACAGAGUUGAGAUAAAGUAUAUCAAUAAUAAAGGAUAAAUAAUAUAAAUAUAAAAAUAAAACCCCAAAGAGUAUAUUUAACACCCCCUACUGGUUAGGAGGUAACAAGUCCCGCCUUCCCCUGCUCAGUACCGUCACUUGUGCUCAGACACAGAGAGAGACGGAGGUGCACGAGACCAUUGCUGAUUUUCGUUGCCAAGCUUGUUGCUGGAAAAUAAUUAUUAACUUGGUAAAUUGAGCAAAUAUUCAUACCGGAGAUCUGCAUGGACCUUGGAGAACCGGACCUGAUUUUUUGUGAACAUUUUGGACUUUGAAACCAUCGCGAUCUGCACGGGUGUGGAUGAAGCGGACAAGAUCCUCUCUGAGAGUUGAACAUUAGAAGCGUGCUGGCUAGGUUUUUUUGUGGGAUCGUGAGACCUGGAUUUCUUCCUGACGAGGAAGAUGGCGAGCCUUUCCCUUUGAACCGAACCACAGCCAUUCCGAGUUGGCCCAGAAGGGCAGGUUGCUCUUCUCUCACGAACAAUUGCAACAGUGCGGUAGGACGAAAUCGCACCAGUCACAGACUUUUGACCUCUUGGAUUUGACUUGACUGAACACUGACUAUUAAGCC